CGGGACUGCUGGCAAGAUGGUAAUGAAGCCAGUGUGUCGGCGUAACUAAGGAGGUUUGCUCUGCUUUGGGAAGUUGCAUUAAGCACAACAAAUCAUGGUCGCCAGAGAGAAGCAGAGCAGGGUUUGAGCGAUCCUGUCCUAGGCUGACUGUUCAAUCACAGACUUCCCAAUGCAGCACAAUGGGAGGUCUUAGCAAAAUAGGUGCUCUGGGCUGUCUUUAGCAGAAAAACCAUGUUCUCCUUGUGUGGUCACUCCUGCCUUGCACUAAAGGUCACUCAGAAUGACUUCAGACACUGGUUAGAUAGGAUAAGUGGCAGAGAUAAAAUCUUCACAAUUUUCAUAUAGUGAACUUUAAAUGAAAACAAAUAUACCGAAAAAUAUUGUGACGUAAACUAGAGGGGGAAAAAACCCUGUGCUUUCCUUUAGAGGAGAACCAUCUCUUCCCAAGGUGGUGAAGAUAAUGAUUGGAAUAACAUAAGAGCUGAAGAAGAGGUGUUCUGUAAAUGAAAGCUCCAGUCCUGUAUAUUUACUUCAAAAAUAUGCAAAGUCUCCCAAAAGUAACAAUCAGAACCAGCAUUUUACCUAUUAAAUCAAUACUAUGGAUGUGGUACAAUCCAAGUUCAGUAGAGAACACUCUCUAGUGUUCGUAAUACAAACCUAUAUUCCUAACACCAUAGUGUCCUUGUUCCUUCUUGAAUUAAGAUAUCUUCUCCUAUGUACAUUAAAAUGAUUUUAUUUUUUUUUUAAAGAACAUAAUAAAUAAAGUUUACUCCCAGCAUUGAUUUCUCCACAUCCUACAUUGUCACAGAGGCGGCAAGACAAUGGUCAAAUCCAAUUCUUAGAGGAGCAUUAGGGACCUAAUGCGUAGGCGCGGCAAGCGCAAAACUUCCUCAUAGAGAAGCACUGAACCACUGCUUUUCUAUGGGGGCUUCCGAG